UGGGGGAUAUUGCACAAUGGGGGAAACCCUGAUGCAGCGACCCCGCGUGGAGGAAGAAGGUUUUCGGAUUGUAAACUCCUGUCGUUAGGGACGAUAAUGACGGUACCUAACAAGAAAGCACCGGCUAACUACGUGCCAGCAGCCGCGGUAAAACGUAGGGUGCAAGCGUUGUCCGGAAUUACUGGGUGUAAAGGGAGCGCAGGCGGGAAGACAAGUUGGAAGUGAAAACCAUGGGCUCAACCCAUGAAUUGCUUUCAAAACUGUUUUUCUUGAGUAGUGCAGAGGUAGAUGGAAUUCCCGGUGUAGCGGUGGAAUGCGUAGAUAUCGGGAGGAACACCAGUGGCGAAGGCGGUCUACUGGGCACCAACUGACGCUGAGGCUCGAAAGCAUGGGUAGCAAACAGGAUUAGAUACCCUGGUAGUCCAUGCCGUAAACGAUGAUUACUAGGUGUUGGGGGAUUGACCCCCUCAGUGCCGCAGUUAACACAAUAAGUAAUCCACCUGGGGAGUACGACCGCAAGGUUGAAACUCAAAGGAAUUGACGGGGGCCCGCACAAGCAGUGGAGUAUGUGGUUUAAUUCGAAGCAACGCGAAGAACCUUACCAGGUCUUGACAUCCGAUGCAUAGCACAGAGAUGUGUGAAAUCCUUCGGGACAUCGAGACAGGUGGUGCAUGGUUGUCGUCAGCUCGUGUCGUGAGAUGUUGGGUUAAGUCCCGCAACGAGCGCAACCCUUAUUGCCAGUUACUACGUUAAGAGGACUCUGGCGAGACUGCCGUUGACAAAACGGAGGAAGGUGGGGAUGACGUCAAAUCAUCAUGCCCUUUAUGACCUGGGCUACACACGUACUACAAUGGCGUUAAACAAAGAGAAGCAAGACCGCGAGGUGGAGCAAAACUCAAAAACAACGUCUCAGUUCAGAUUGCAGGCUGCAACUCGCCUGCAUGAAGUCGGAAUUGCUAGUAAUCGCGGAUCAGCAUGCCGCGGUGAAUACGUUCCC
rnacentral:rRNA from 2 species